rnacentral:rRNA from 1 species
GCUUCGGGUUGUAAAGCUCUUUCGGCAGGAACGAAAUGGUCGUGCUAAUACCACGGACUGAUGACGGUACCUGAAGAAGAAGCACCGGCUAACUACGUGCCAGCAGCCGCGGUAAUACGUAGGGUGCAGGCGUUAAUCGGAAUUACUGGGCGUAAAGCGUGCGCAGGCGGUUUCUUAAGUCAGACGUGAAAGCCCCGGGCUUAACCUGGGAACUGCGUUUGAAACUGGGAGACUUGAGUGUGGCAGAGGGGGGUGGAAUUCCACGUGUAGCAGUGAAGUGCGUAGAUAUGUGGAGGAACACCGAUGGCGAAGGCAGCCCCCUGGGCUAACACUGACGCUCAUGCACGAAAGCGUGGGGAGCAAACUGGAUUAGAUACCCUGGUAGUCCACGCCCUAAACUAUGUCAACUGGUUGUCGGGGGAUUAACUCCCUUGGUAACGAAGCUAACGCGUGAAGUUGACCGCCUGGGGAGUACGGCCGCAAGGUUAAAACUCAAAGGAAUUGACGGGGACCCGCACAAGCGGUGGAUUAUGUGGAUUAAUUCGAUGCAACGCGAAAAACCUUACUAACCUUGACAUGUU